GACGAACGCUGGCGGCGUGCCUAAUACAUGCAAGUAGGACGCAGUUGCGAACGGGUGAGUAACGCGUAGGUCACUGCCUAUUAGAGGGGGAUCACUAUUGGAAACGAUAGCUAAUACCGCAUACUCGUAGAUGGACCUGCGUUGUAUUAGCUAGUAGGUAGGGUAAUGGACUACCUAGGCGACGAUACAUUGCCGACCUGAGAGGGUGAUCGGCCACAAUGGGACUGAGACACGGCCCGGACUCCUACGGGAGGCAGCAGUAGGGAAUCUGCGGCAAUGGGGGGAACCCUGACUGAGCAAAGCCGCGUGAGUGAAGAAGGUCUUCGGAUCGUAAAGCUCUGUUGUUAAGGAAGCGGUACUUAACCAGAAAGGGACGGCUAACUACGUGCCAGCAGCCGCGGUAAUAC
rnacentral:rRNA from 1 species